AAUCCAAACCUAUAUAAAACUAAUUGAAUCACAUUCAAUUUAGAAUUUGAUUUGCAUCCCUAAGAUCCAUUGGAACACGUCCUAUUAUUCAAUAAGGAUGCAUUCAAUCAAUCCAAAGUCAAUCUAAUUGAAUCCAAUUUAAUUAGAUCUAAUCCAAUCUCCAUUGCUCAAUCAAAUUGAGCCAAUUUACAAUCAAAUUGUUAAUUAAUUAUUCUUUUAAUUUACCAAACAUUAGUAAAUAAUUUAUUGUAAUCUUUGUAUAGGAUUAAUCAUCAAUCUCAUUGAUAAUUAAACCCUUCAACAAUUCAUAAUCGUCGAUCAGCCAUUUGAUCAGAAAGGUACUUCUAUGUGUGUGACUCCAUAGGUUCAAAUCUAAGCCGGUAGCACAAGAAUAAUUUCUGUACUAAUCGAUGUAACUAUCUAGCAAUAGGAUCCGACAUCUGGAUAGGCCGAAUGUAUGCCCAGCAACACUCUAGAAUCCAUGUGGAUAUAGUUACCAUAUAAUUCAUCCCUUUGACACUUGAUGCUUAAGGAUGACUAAGGAUUAAACUGUCAACCCAGGAAGAGUGGUCCACAUUGUGUCUCAACCUUAAAAAUUCUGUGACUCCUCACUAAGACUACUUUGGCCAAAGUUUUACUGAAUUGAAGUAUAGUGAUGCAUUAUCUCCAAUUUUACUUGGAGCGAUCAAUCCUAUUUUGACUCGUACUCAAAUUUCACAAGUACUUGACUGUACCUAAAAAUCUUUCGUCAUCGAAUUAGAAAUUCGGAUAGUCCGAUACCAAAGCACAGUGAGUUGCUUGCAAGUCACCAAGACAAUCUCAGGUCAGAAAGAUACAUAUACCCAUAUCCCAUCAGAGCCUUGACAGCAGAGUGCUCCGAAAGUGAUCACGCUCAGUGAAAUGUACUCCUACAAAUCAUCCAUAUGCCA
rnacentral:lncRNA from 1 species